CAGUCGCCGCGGGAAUACGUAGGGUGCGAGCGUUAAUCGGAAUUACUGGGCGUAAAGCGUGCGCAGGCGGUUUUGUAAGACAGGCGUGAAAUCCCCGGGCUCAACCUGGGAAUGGCACUUGUGACUGCAAAGCUAGAGUGCGGCAGAGGGGGAUGGAAUUCCGCGUGUAGCAGUGAAAUGCGUAGAUAUGCGGAGGAACACCGAUGGCGAAGGCAAUCCCCUGGGCCUGCACUGACGCUCAUGCACGAAAGCGUGGGGAGCAAACAGGAUUAGAUACCCCUGUAGUCCCUGUCUCUUAUAA
rnacentral:rRNA from 1 species